GCAUUGGAUUGAGAACAAUGUACAAGAGUUAUCGAUAAACAAUUGGAGGGCAAGUCUGGUGCCAGCAGCCGCGGUAAUUCCAGCUCCAAUAGCGUAUAUUAACGUUGUUGCAGUUAAAAAGCUCGUAGUUGAAGUGUGGGGUAUAAAUGAAUUGACUUUUUCAAAGUGAAUGAAUGAAUACCCCCUCUCCAAUAAGUCUGUAUGGGUAUUAAGUUAUUUGUACUGGCUGUUGGUCAUUUACUGUGAGAAAAUUAGAGUGUUCAAAGCAGGCAUUUGCUUGAAUAUGUUAGCAUGGAAUAAUAAUAAAAGGCUUUUAUGGUCGAUUUAAUUGGUUUGUUCAUGAAAGCAAGAUUAAAAGGGACAGUUGGGGGUAUUCAUAUUCAAUAGUUAGAGGUGAAAUUCUCGGAUUUAUGGAAGAUGAACUAGUGCGAAAGCAUUUACCAAGGAUGUUUUCAUUAAUCAAGAACGAAAGCUAGGGGAUCGAAGAGGCUUAGAUACCCUCGUAGUCUUAGCUAUAAACUAUACCGACUAGGGGUUAGUAGAAGUCAUUGUGUUUCUAUUAGUACCUUAUGAGAAAUCAAAGUCUUUGGGUUCCGGGGGGAGUAUGGUCGCAAGCCUGAAACUUAAAGGAAUUGACGGAAGGGCACCACCAGGAGUGGAUCCUGCGGCUUAAUUCGACUCAACACGGGGAAACUUACCAGGUCCAGACAUAGGAAGGAUUGACAGAUUGAUAGCUCUUUCUUGAUUCUAUGGGUGGUGGUGCAUGUCCGUUCUUAGUUGGUGGAGUGAUUUGUCUGGUUAAUUCCGAUAACGAACGAGACCUCCGCCUGCUAACUAGUUUAUUGUAUUUUGAUAGAAUAAACUUCUUAGAGGGCCCCUAUACGUAUGAGUGUAGGGAAGCUGGAGGCAAUAACAGGUCUGUGAUGCCCUUAGAUGUUCUGGGCUGCACGCACACGGCCCUGAUCUACUCAACGAGUAACAGGAUCGAUAGCUUUGG
rnacentral:rRNA from 1 species